GCGUAAUGAUGGCCAGGCUGUCUCCACCCGAGACUCAGUGAAAUUGAACUCGCUGUGAAGAUGCAGUGUACCCGCGGCAAGACGGAAAGACCCCGUGAACCUUUACUAUAGCUUGACACUGAACAUUGAGCCUUGAUGUGUAGGAUAGGUGGGAGGCUUUGAAGCGUGGACGCCAGUCUGCGUGGAGCCGACCUUGAAAUACCACCCUUUAAUGUUUGAUGUUCUAACGUGGACCCGUAAUCCGGGUUGCGGACAGUGUCUGGUGGGUAGUUUGACUGGGGCGGUCUCCUCCUAAAGAGUAACGGAGGAGCACGAAGGUUGGCUAAUCCUGGUCGGACAUCAGGAGGUUAGUGCAAUGGCAUAAGCCAGCUUGACUGCGAGCGUGACGGCGCGAGCAGGUGCGAAAGCAGGUCAUAGUGAUCCGGUGGUUCUGAAUGGAAGGGCCAUCGCUCAACGGAUAAAAGGUACUCCGGGGAUAACAGGCUGAUACCGCCCAAGAGUUCAUAUCGACGGCGGUGUUUGGCACCUCGAUGUCGGCUCAUCACAUCCUGGGGCUGAAGUAGGUCCCAAGGGUAUGGCUGUUCGCCAUUUAAAGUGGUACGCGAGCUGGGUUUAGAACGUCGUGAGACAGUUCGGUCCCUAUCUGCCGUGGGCGCUGGAGAACUGAGGGGGGCUGCUCCUAGUACGAGAGGACCGGAGUGGACGCAUCACUGGUGUUCGGGUUGUCAUGCCAAUGGCACUGCCCGGUAGCUAAAUGCGGAAGAGAUAAGUGCUGAAAGCAUCUAAGCACGAAACUUGCCCCGAG
rnacentral:rRNA from 1 species